GACGAACGCUGGCGGCGUGCCUAACACAUGCAAGUCGAACGGAACUGUUUUGAUAGUUUUCUUCGGAAUGAAUUUGAUUUAGUUUAGUGGCCGACGGGUGAGUAACCCUUGAGUAACCUGCCUUCAAGAGGGGAAUAACAUUCUGAAAAGAAUGCUAAUACCUCCUUACAUAUCGGUACCACAUGGUUUUGAUAUCAAAGAUUUUAUCGCUUAAAGAUGGACUCGCGUCCGAUUAGUUAGUUGGUGAGGUAACGGCGCACCAAGACGGCGAUCGGUAGCCGGAGUGAGAGGUUGAACGGACACAUUGGGAGAGAGACACGGGACAGACUCCUACGGGAGGCAGCAGUGGGGGAUAAUGCGCAAUGGGGGCAAGACUGACGAAGCAACGCCGCGUGAAGGAGGAAGGUUUUCGGAUUGUAAACUUCUUUUAUUAAGGACGAAAAAUGACGGUACUUAAUGAAUAAGCACCGGCUAACUACGUG
rnacentral:rRNA from 1 species